UACGUAGGGUGCGAGCGUUGUCCGGAAUUAUUGGGCGUAAAGAGCUCGUAGGCGGUUUGUUGCGUCUAUCGUGAAAACCUGCAGCUUAACUGUGGGCUUGCAGUGGAUACGGGCAGGCUAGAGGUAGGUAGGGGAGAAUGGAAUUCCCGGUGUAGCAGUGAAAUGCGCAGAUAUCGGGAGGAACACCGGUGGCGAAGGCGGUUCUCUGGGCCUUACCUGACGCUGAGGAGCGAAAGCGUGGGGAGCGAACAGG
rnacentral:rRNA from 1 species